rnacentral:lncRNA from 1 species
UUUUACAACAUAAAUGAAAAUAAAAAAAAAUCCCACCUGCGCUUUCUCAAAGAAAUUUUUACAGUGUGUUGUACUACUUUUGGGACAAAUUAUAUCAAAAUUAUAGAAAACUUCAUCGCCUCAAACUCAAAAUAUGGACAAUUUUAUCUUUAGGUCGUCUUGAAAUCUUUUGACAGCUUCCGAAGUGCUAUUUUUCAACCUUUUUUAUCUGGACCAAAUCACUACUUUCCUUUAAAAUUCUGGACCCAAACUUUUUUACAGUGUAAUUUCACCCCCUACUUGCAAUUUGAGGCAUAAAACAUGGAGAAAUAAAUUAGGAAGGGGUAUAAAAAUUAAUGGCAAGUAACCCACUGUCAACACUAGGGACUAUAUUUGUGAACAACGAAAAUCAAGGGACGACAAUGGUGGUCUCGGACCAUAUGUCUGGAAAGCAUCUAAAAAAACUUUGCAAAAACAAAAGCAGUAUGGACUUUCCAAUAAUGAAAGAACAAGAAUGAAGGAACAAAACAACUGAUAUUUUUAAUCCCUAUACAUUACUUUUUUUGUACAGUUUAAACAUUG